ACUACAGAGGUAUCUCUUUAAUCAGCGUUGUGGGUAAAAUCUUCUCAGGUAUUGUUGAAAGGAAAGUGCGAGUAUUAGUUGAGGACAAAUUGGAUGAAAAUCAGUGUGGGUUUAGGCCUCUUAGAGGUUGUCAGCACCAGAUCUUUAGCUUACGGCAAAUAAUGGAGAAGUGUUACGAGUGGAAUAGGGAAUUGUAUCUAUGCUUUAUAGAUCUAGAAAAGGCAUAUGACCGGGUUCCUAGGAGGAAGUUAUUGUCUGUUCUAUGAGAUUAUGGAAUAGGAGGCAAACUUUUGCAAGCAAUUAAAGGUCUUUAAAUAGAUAUUCAGGCAGCUGUUAGAGUUGACGGUAAAUUGAGUUCAUGGUUCAGAGUAGUUUCAGGGGUAAGACAACCUGUCUCCACUGUUGUUCAUAUUAUUUAUGGAUCAUAUGUUGAAAACAAUAGACUGGUUGGGUGAGAUUAAGAUAUGUGAACACAAAAUAAGCAGUCUCGCAAAAGUGGAUGACUUAGUUGUGACGGCAGAUUCGAUUGAAAGUUUGCAAAGUAAUAUUUCAGAGCUAGAUCAGAAAUGUAAGGACUAUGGUAUGAAGAUUAGCAUCUCCAAAACGAAAGUAAUGUCAGUGGGAAAGAGAUAUAAAUGGACUGAGUGCCAAAUCGGAGGAACAAAGUUAGAACAGGUGGACGGUUUCAAGUACUUAGAAUGCAUAUUCUCACAGGAUGGCAACAUAGUGAAAGAACUGGAAGUGAAGUGUAGCAAAGCUAAUGCAGUGAGCGCUCAGCUACGAUCUACUCUCUUCUGCAAGAAGGAAGUCGGUACCAAGAAUAAGUUAUCUGUGUACCAUUUAAUCUUUCGACCAACUUUGUUGUAUGGGAGCGAAAGCUGGGUGGAUUCAGGUUACCUUAUCAAUAAGGUUGAGGUUACAGAUAUGAAAGUAGCUACUAGGAUGAUUGCAGCUACUAGUAGAUGGGAACAAUGGCAGGAGGGUGUCCACAAUGAGGAAACCAAAGUAAAACUGGGAAUUAACUCUAUAGACGGAGCAGUCAGGGCGAACAGGCUUAGAUGUUGGGGUCAUGUUACACGCAUGGGAGAAGCAAGGUUGCCCAAGAGACUCAUGGGUUCUGCAGUAGAGGGUAGGAGGAGUCGGGGUAGACCAAGGAGAGAAGGUACCUGGAUUCGGUUAAGAAUGAUUUUGAAGUAAUAGGCUUAACAUCAGAAGAGGCACCAAUGUUAGCACUGAAUAGGGGAUGAUGAUGAUGAUGACCUGCUCAUGUUAUGUGAUCUACCCAUCUAGUCUUCAAAAUUCUUCUGUAGCACCACACUUCGAAAGCUUCUAUUCUCUUCUUGUCUAAACUAUUUAUCGUCCAUGUUUCACUUUCACACAUUGUUACAUUCCAUACAAAUACUUUCAGAAACAACUUCCCGACACUUAAAUCGAUACUCGAUGUUAACAAAUUUCUCUUCUUCGGAAACGCUUUCCUUGCCAUUGCCAGUCUACAUUUCAUAUCCUCUCUACUUCGACCAUCAUCAGUUAUUUUGCUCCCCAAAUGGCAAAACUCAUUUACUACUUUAAGCGUCUCAUUUCCUAAUCUAAUUUAUUCAGCAUCACCCAAUUUAAUUCGACAACAUUCCAUUAUCCUCAUUGUGCUUUUGUUGAUGUUCACCUUAUAUCCUCCUUUCAAGGCACUGUCCAUUUCGUUCAGCAGCUCUUCCUGGUCGUUUGCUGUCUCUGACAGAAUUACAAUGUCAUCGGCGAACCUCAAAGUUUUUAUUUCUUCUCCAUAGAUUUUAAUUCCUACUCUGAAGGUAGAAAAGCCAAGUCAUACUAAUUGAUAAUGCAGCUUACUUUACUAGCGGUUUAUGGACGGAAAAUUUAAAAAGAGUAAAUAUAAAGUCUAUAUUUAUUUCCCGAUUUUAUCCCUGCGGGAAUCCUAUGCUAAUAGACAGUUAUUAUUAAUGUGUCACAUUUAGCUAUGCUAUUUCAGUAGGACAUUACAGCAUUGCCAUAUUAUUUCAAAGAGAUUAUGCAGUAUGCACAAACACUUGUGAUUAACCUGAUUUAUCUUGUUGCUGGAUCAGGCCGUGAUAUUGUAUGCCACAAGUACUGAAAUUCAAAAACCUUUUAAUCACCAUAAAACUUGUGCUAUUUUGUUCAGAAAACUAUGUAGUUUCAUAUGCUAUAGUCAUUUUCGCUUUUAAAAAAUUAUUAGUGUGAUUUUUUUCUCACACAUUUAGAAAAAAUAAAAUAUUUUCUGUUACGGAAGGACAUUUCAUUUUUAUUAUUUGUAUCACACACAUUGAUGAUCCUCUGACAACAUCUAUGUGGGCACUUAAGUUAGCCUAACAGGAAUACAUUGGUAUUAAAAGAAGGAAUUUGGCAUGUUUAUCAAAGACAUAAAAUUUCCCCCAAAAUUGUAAAUGUCCUUCCGUACCAAAUUGUUGACAUAAUUUCAAUAUAAAAUAUAAUGAACAGUUAAUAUAAAAUUUUCUUUUCCAUAACUUCCUAAUAUGAGUAUUAUGACAUCUUCAGUACCAUAAAGCCAUAUCAAAUACAACUAUUUAAUAAAUAUUUAUUUUGUAAAAUAUUUGUUAUAAAUGUCCAUUUGAGUCUCCCUCUAAAAAUGAAACCAGCCACUCACAGCAUGUCUUUACCUUGCUAGCCAAUGAAACAAUUCUAUCAAAUGUUUUCCCUCCUGUUUUCUGUUCUCUCUCUCUCUCUCUCUCUCUCUCUCUCUCUCUCUCUCUCUCUAUUGUUGUAUAGGUUUCAAGUGGCUGUUCAUGUUGAAGUGUAAAUUUGAUGGUUAUAAAGGUUAUAAACAAUUUGAAAGUAAGUAUUAGUUUAAUGUAAACAAAGUUUGUUUUUUUAUGCGCAAGUCUGAAAUAUUUUUUCAAAUAAGCCUGAUUACUUCAAAAGCCUGAGUGAAGAAUGUAGGCUAUAAAUCCAUGUGGUAUCAAAUAUUUACAUGCUGCGGCAUCAUGUUAAUAUUGUGUGAUGGCCAAAACUGGUGCCGCGCAUGCUAAGGGACGCAGAAAACGAAAAAUGAAUGAACCAGGAACAGCAGAAGUGUAUUGUCAAAAAGAUCGUGAGAGAAAGAAAGCAGAACAACAGAAGUUAAUAGCUGAGGGAAAGAUACGUCAUUUAUGAAAAUAUGAAAAUGAAAGGAAAAAAUUGCAUUGCGCCAUUGCUUGUCAAACCGAUGCAAAUCCAACAUUAAAAAUGUCACCUAGCAAGUUAGGUAAAGCUACCGCUAGGAUCAAGACAUGUCCCCCAAAACCACCUUCCAAGCAUCCUGAAGUUCUUGGAAAACAGGUCAAAUCCUUUUCACAUUAAAAACUUAGUAAUUUUUUUGAAGUUGCUGGCUUUGCUGCUAGGAAUGUUAAACCAAAACAAUUAGUAUUUGAAAGAAAAAAAAAGAAGGGAUUCUGUGCCAAAUCAAAAGGAAUUCAUUUCUAUUAAAUGUGGUAAAGAGUACAGGCAAAAGAGAUUUUUGUUAUACAAUAUUAAAGAAAUUUAUGAACUUUUCUGCAAAGAGUAUGGGGAGUUACCCACUGGACUGUCAAAAUUUACACAAUUACGACAAAAGCAUGUUGUACCUAUAACACUAAGAGAUAGAGAAGUUUGUGUCUGCACUUAUCAUGAAAAUGCUGCUAUGUUAUUAAGGUAUUUGAACAAGCAAAAAAUAAAUAAAUAAAUAAAAAUAAAAAAAAAUAUAGAAAUGAAAUCAGAAAAAUCACAAACACACGGGGUUUUGAGGAAGAAGAGAGAAAAACUAACCGACAUACACGGUCUAUGCAAUGAAAGCUAGCCCCUUCGUUGUUUAUGAAGGAACACUGGGCGAAAAGGAAGGCCAACAAAUGUUGAUUACGCGUGGUCCUAAGUGAUCCAUCCGCGAAGAAGAAGAAGAAGAAGAAGAAGAAGAAAAAUAUCUCAGCAACAUUACUCAUGCUUUCUUAAGCAAGUAGUUAUGCCUAAGUAUAUAUUUUUUCAAUUAUUUUGACAUUUAUAAACCAUUUUACAGUGUUACUUUAUUAAAUGUAAAGGGUACUUUCUCAGAACAGUGUUUUAAAUUAUGUAUGUACAAAGUCUAUAUUUUACUAACAAUAAUUUCACUUUCCUAUGCUACAUAAGUUUAAUUUCAGUAAUAAAUUAAUAUGUAAUUUGUAUGAUAGCAUUUAUUGUUAUAAAAUUCAAUAAAUAACUAUGUAUUUUGUGUUAAAAGUCAAAUAAUUAAUAUUGAAAAUACGGAAACAUAAUAUUACUAUUUAAAUGCAUAAAAGAAUCCCAGUUGCUUGUAACAGUUUGCAGAAUAUAUGUUGUGCCCUAGUUUUCCAUUUCUAAUUAAAGUUUUUUACCCAGAUUUCACAGAAAAGUGUCCUUCCGUAACAAAAAAAUAGCACGGCCUGACCCUGCUAAUUAGUGAUUGACUGAAUGAGCUAAUGAUAUACCUCAACUUUAAUACAGUGUAAUUAAGUGAUAUUAACUUUCAUUUCUUAAAUGACAUUUGCCAUAUACAAAUAUUGUAAACAGAGACUUAAAUGGGAAUUAUUCUUAAUGAAUUGAGGUUCUGCAUUAAUAAGCAAAUAGUUACUGUAAUGUUAUAAUUUUAAAUUUUACAUAUUUUUCCUGUUUUGUCUUGCUAUAUAUUUUUAAAGUCUAAUAUCGCUAUUAUAUUGUAUCAUAUUAAAGUGUUAUUUUGGUGAGGAUAUGUAAGGGUACUGUAGUCUUACAUAGCUGACCCUUAUAUACACUCUAUGCAGCAAAGACUGCAGUGCAGUCAACAGUGUACGAGUGGCUGAGUGGGUGAGUGGGAGUCGAGUGUUAGAGUCCGUGAGUGGAAGUCGGGAGUGCGAGAGGCUAGAGACGGUUGCUCAGUAGUGAGGCCGGAGAUUAGUGGCAAAAUAUAGGUGCAAUGGCACACAGUAUUUGAUUUCUGUUGAGUGUUUAUAAAUGUUGGUUUAAUUAAUUAAAAUCCAGUAUUUAACAAA